rnacentral:rRNA from 1 species
GAUUAACGCUGGCGGCGUGCCUAAUACAUGCAAGUCGAGCGAACAGACGAGGAGCUUGCUCCUCUGACGUUAGCGGCGGACGGGUGAGUAACACGUGGAUAACCUACCUAUAAGACUGGGAUAACUUCGGGAAACCGGAGCUAAUACCGGAUAAUAUAUUGAACCGCAUGGUUCAAUAGUGAAAGACGGUUUUGCUGUCACUUAUAGAUGGAUCCGCGCCGCAUUAGCUAGUUGGUAAGGUAACGGCUUACUAAGGCAACGAUGCGUAGUCGACCUGAGAGGGUGAUCGUCCACACUGGAACUGAGACACGGUCCAGACUCCUACGGGAGGCAGCAGUAGGGAAUCUUCCGCAAUGGGCGAAAGCCUGACGGAGCAACGCCGCGUGAGUGAUGAAGGUCUUCGGAUCGUAAAACUCUGUUAUUAGGGAAGAACAAAUGUGUAAGUAACUAUGCACGUCUUGACGGUACCUAAUCAGAAAGCCACGGCUAACUACGUG